CCUUUCAGCGCCACAGGAGUGGGACCCUGAGGGUGGGGGCACCCUCAGGGCACUACAGUGCCAAGAAAACAAGUUUGUUUUCCUGGCACUAUAGUGGUCCUUUAAGGAAGAACCUAUGGUUAUAGAAAUGCAAAUGAUUGCUGCAAAACACUUGCAGAAAAAGUGUGAUUGGAUGACUCAAGACAAGUUGCUGCAGUAGCUAAACAAAGUUCCAUGGCCUAAUGAUAUUCACCACGAAUACUUAAG